AGCAGCCGCGGUAAUUCCAGCUCCAAUAGCGUAUAUUAAAGUUGUUGCAGUUAAAAAGCUCGUAGUUGAAUUUCGGGAUCAAGUCGUCGGUCGUGCUUAGGUACGUACUGGCGUCAUUGAUUUCUCCCUUCUGACGAACCCAUGAUGUCAUUAAUUUGGUGUUAUGGGAAAUCAGGACUUUUACUUUGAAAAAAUUAGAGUGUUUAAAGCAGGCUCACGCUUGAAUACAUUAGCAUGGAAUAAUAGAAAUAGGACGUUCGAUCCUAUUUUGUUGGUUUUAGGAUCAACGUAAUGAUUAAUAGGGAUAGUUGGGGGGCAUUAGUAUUCAAUUGUCAGAGGUGAAAUUCUUGGAUUUAUUGAAGACUAACUACUGCGAAAGCAUUUGCCAAGGAUGUUUUCAUUAAUCAAGAACGAAAGUUAGGGGAUCGAAGACGAUCAGAUACCGUCGUAGUCUUAACCAUAAACUAUGCCGACUAGGGAUCGGAUGAUGUUAAUUUUUUAAUGACUCAUUCGGCGCCUU
rnacentral:rRNA from 1 species